rnacentral:rRNA from 1 species
GAUGAACGCUAGCUACAGGCUUAACACAUGCAAGUCGAGGGACCGGCGCACGGGUGAGUAACACGUAUCCAACCUGCCCUUUACUCGGGGAUAGCCUUUCGAAAGAAAGAUUACUACCCGAUUUAAUGGAUGGGGAUGCGUUCCUUUAGGUUGUUGGUGAGGUAAUGGCGCACCAAGCCUUCGAUGGUUAGGGGUUCGGAGAGGAGGGUCCCCCACAAUGGAACUGAGACACGGUCCAAACUCCUACGGGAGGCAGCAGUUAGGAAUAUUGGGCAAUGGGCGUUAGCCUGACCCAGCCAAGUAGCGUGAAGGAUUAAGGCGUAUGGGUCGUAAAUUUCUUGGAUAUAAGAAUAGGUAUUAUAUGAAUAAGGAUCGGCUAACUCCGUGCCAGCAGCCGCGGUAAUUC